GGGAAUAUUAGUAAUGGGCGAAAGCCUGAACUAGCAACGCCGCGUGUGCGAAGAAGGCCUUCGGGUUGUAAAGCACUUUUUGAGAGGAUGAGGAAGGACGGUACUCUCAGAAUAAGUCUCGGCUAACUACGUGCCAGCAGCCGCGGUAACACGUAGGAGGCGAACGUUAUCCGGAUUUACUGGGCGUAAAGCGCGUGUAGGUGGUUUGGUAAGUAGGGCGUGAAAGCUCCUGGCUCAACUGGGAGAGGCCGUUCUAAACUGCCGAACUAGAGGAUGGUAGAGGGAGGUGGAAUUCCGGGUGUAGCGGUGGAAUGCGCAGAUAUCCGGAGGAACACCAGUGGCGAAAGCGGCCUCCUGGACCAUUCCUGACACUCAGACGCGAAAGCUAGGGU
rnacentral:rRNA from 1 species